rnacentral:rRNA from 1 species
AAGCUCGUAGUUGAAUUUCGGGGUUAGUAGGUUGGUCAUGCCUCUGGUAUGUACUGGUCUCACUGAUUCCUCCUUCCUUAUGAACCGUAAUGCCAUUAAUUUGGUGUUGCGGGGAAUUUGGACUGUUACUUUGAAAAAAUUAGAGUGUUUAAAGCAAGCUAACGCUUGAAUACAUUAGCAUGGAAUAAUGAAAUAGGACGUUCGAUCUUAUUUUGUUGGUUUCUAGGAUUGACGUAAUGAUUAAUGGGAUAGUUGGG